AACCUACUCCCUCCGUUCGGAAUUACUCGUCGAAGAAAUGAAUGUAUCUAGAUGUAUUUUAGUUGUAGAUACAUCCAUUUUUGUGACAAGUAAUACCGAACGGAGGGAGUACGUC
rnacentral:pre_miRNA from 1 species